GGGGGGGGGGAUUUCAGACAUUUAAACUUAAACUAACUAGGUUAAUUUUAUGUUAGACAUUAGAUAUGUUAGACAAGCUAUUAUGUCUCACAAAAAAACAGGACAUGUAAUUUGUUCCUCUAAUGCUUGAUAUAAAAGUAAAGAGACACCAAAAUAUAGUCUAUUUACACCAGAGAAUAAGACAAAAUGCAUGAGAAAGCAAGACAGCUAAGGAGAGAGAGAGAGAGAGAGAGAGAGGCUGGGCGAGAGAGCGAAAGGGGAGGGAAGAAAAGGUUGAGCAUGUCUGUGAGAGCCAGCAGGCGGCAGUUCAUCAUGUCUGCCUUCACAGAGACGUGGAAUAUUAAGCCACGGCAGCUGGCAGUGCCCCCAUACACACAUUCCCAGGCAUAUGGAGCUAGGACAUUAAAAGAAGAGGAUGGUGUUUUGCAUACAUAUUUUUUGCUUCAAAGGUAACCUUGAACAAAACAGCAUUUAACACAAACAAAAACCCCAAAUCCAAAUCUAACAUUUAUUUGUGCUUUUCAGCAAAUUAAUGAUUAGGGAUUUUCAUAUCCAAUCAUUCUGUUAUGGUCCAGUACAGAAAGAGACAUUCUUCAUUACAUUCUUUGCCAAUCUUUAAAGAUUCCAUGAUGUCCAGCCAAGAUUUCCACUUUCUGCAGCAGCAAAGCAAGCCCAUAAUAAGACUGGUCCACAUGCUUGACUCUGGAGAUGGAGGUGCUCUUCUGCUCAAGCUUUUUUUUUUUUUUUUCACCAGUCAUACCACUGAUCCAUUGGUCCAAAAGUUCCAGUUUGGUUACAACACUCCAUAAAACAUAUUUUCAGAACUCCACAAGUCUAUCCAGAUGAAUUAUAGCAUAUUCAUAUGGCAUUUUACAUUCUUCUUGGUCAAAAGUGGCAUUCAGCAAGGUGUUCUCACAAGAAAGCUAUACUAAAUGUUUUUCAAUCCUUUCAUCAGGUCCUCUUGCAAGUCUUUGGCAGUAUAUUGAGUGUUUUUCUCAAUUGUUCUGAUUAAACGUUUUAUUGCCCUUGGUGAUAUUGUGCUUUUCCUUCAACACCCUCAAAGGUUUUCUGGUACAACACAUUCUUAACUUAUGAAUAAGGCUGCCAGCUGUGUCUCUAGGAAACUUCAGUGCUGCCAUAGGCUUUCUGAUGUAACAGAACAUUUUCUUCUCCAUACCCUUUGUGAGAGCUCUUUCGAUUUGGUCAUGUUUGCUAUUCAACUUUAGCACAUGCAUGGGCAAAAUGUAUGUAUGUGUAACAGCUCAAACUAGUCUU
ensembl:lncRNA